rnacentral:rRNA from 1 species
UACGUAGGGGGCGAGCGUUGUCCGGAUUUACUGGGCGUAAAGGGUGAGUAGGCGGUUAUAUAUGUCAGGUGUAAAAAGCUAUGGCUUAACCAUAGUAAGCACUUGAAACUGUAUGACUUGAGUGCAGGAGAGGUAAGCGGAAUUCCUAGUGUAGCAGUGAAAUGCGUAGAUAUUAGGAGGAACACCGGUGGCGAAGGCGGCUUACUGGACUGUAACUGACGCUUAGUCACGAAAGCGUGGGUAGCAAACAGGAUUAGAUACCCUGGUAGUCCCU